CAAUUCUCCAGUUCACCACAAAAACAGCUGGAUGUAACUGUGGGUAGCAACAAAUACAGAAGAUGGCUUGAUAGUGGGAGAAAGUGCCUGGCAAUAAGCUUAAAGAAGCUCCUGUACAGAACUGCUACAUUCUGCUGUGCCCAUACAGUUAUGUUGAUAGAGCCACAGCAAAGGUGACAC
rnacentral:lncRNA from 1 species